GAUGAACGCUGGCGGCGUGCCUAAUACAUGCGAGUCGAGCGAACAGACGAGGAGCUUGCUCCUCUGACGUUAGCGGCGGACGGGUGAGUAACACGUGGAUAACCUACCUAUAAGACUGGGAUAACUUCGGGAAACCGGAGCUAAUACCGGAUAAUAUAUUGAACCGCAUGGUUCAAUAGUGAAAGACGGUUUUGCUGUCACUUAUAGAUGGAUCCGCGCCGCAUUAGCUAGUUUGUAAGGUAACGGCUUACCAAGGCAACGAUGCGUAGCCGACCUGAGAGGGUGAUCGGCCACACUGGAACUGAGACACGGUCCAGACUCCUACGGGAGGCAGCAGUAGGGAAUCUUCCGCAAUGGGCGAAAGCUUGACGGAGCAACGCCGCGUGAGUGAUGAAGGUCUUCGGAUCGUAAAACUCUGUUAUUAGGGAAGAACAAAUGUGUAAGUAACUAUGCACGCCUUGACGGUACCUAAUCAGAAAGCCACGGCUAACUACGUG
rnacentral:rRNA from 1 species